ACAUAAGAAUAGAUCCUCAUUGAUGUUUCCAAUAGAGUUCAAGAAAACUUCUCUUGCACAGACUCUCCCAAGGCGGGAUUAUAACAAAGUUCCCUGAGUCAUAAUUCUUAAGAUCACUCCAAGAUUCCAAUGAAAUCAGGUACCUGUUGCUGCAACUCUGGAGCAAGAUGCUUAAUCUCUCCCAAAUCACUAGAGUUUUUGUCGGAUGAGUCAGAAUUCACUAAAGAAGCUGUGUUCUGUUUCACUUGCCUCACAGUUUACAACAGCUGUUUAUUGAGAACUUACCAAAUUCAAGGCACCAUGUAGACUAGGAAUUGGAGAGAUGUCCCACCUCUGCUUCUAGUCACUGCUGUGGUGACUUUGAUCAGCUUUGCACAGGGACAGCCUGACAUCGCUUCACCUCAAGACCUGCUCUUGCCUCCCACCCUGGGGCUCCUCUGAAGCUGGCCACUGAUAUCUCCAGGACCCACUCAGCACUCAGUAUUCUUCAGUAGAGAGGAGCUUUCCCUUGAGAAGGACCACCAGUGCUGGAUCGUGGGGGAUACAGAAUGCAAGGAACUUUGGUGGUCCAGAAACAUCUGACUGCACCUCGGAUUCAGUUAAUUCCUAUGGACCCAAAGCCACUGCACCCAGCAAUGAAUAAAUAUCUCUGCCCUGGAA